CCUACGGGAGGCAGCAGUGGGGAAUCUUGCGCAAUGGGCGAAAGCCUGACGCAGCCAUGCCGCGUGAAUGAUGAAGGUCUUAGGAUUGUAAAAUUCUUUCACCGGGGACGAUAAUGACGGUACCCGGAGAAGAAGCCCCGGCUAACUUCGUGCCAGCAGCCGCGGUAAUACGAAGGGGGCUAGCGUUGCUCGGAAUUACUGGGCGUAAAGGGAGCGUAGGCGGAUAGUUUAGUCAGAGGUGAAAGCCCAGGGCUCAACCUUGGAAUUGCCUUUGAUACUGGCUAUCUUGAGUACGGAAGAGGUAUGUGGAACUCCGAGUGUAGAGGUGAAAUUCGUAGAUAUUCGGAAGAACACCAGUGGCGAAGGCGACAUACUGGUCCGUUACUGACGCUGAGGCUCGAAAGCGUGGGGAGCAAACAGGAUUAGAUACCCUGGUAGUCCACGCUGUAAACGAUGAGUGCUAGUUGUCGGCAUGCAUGCAUGUCGGUGACGCAGCUAACGCAUUAAGCACUCCGCCUGGGGAGUACGGUCGCAAGNUUAAAACCUUAAAUGAAUUGACGG
rnacentral:rRNA from 1 species